rnacentral:rRNA from 1 species
UACAGAGGUGGCAAGCGUUGUUCGGAAUUACUGGGCGUAAAGGGCGCGUAGGCGGUUCGUUAAGUCCUGUGUGAAAUCCCCCGGCUUAACCGGGGAACUGCGUCCGAUACUGGUUGGCUUGAGUUUGGGAGAGGGAUGCGGAAUUCCAGGUGUAGCGGUGAAAUGCGUAGAUAUCUGGAGGAACACCGGUAGCGAAGGCGGCAUCCUGGACCAAUACUGACGCUGAGGAGCGAAAGCCAGGGGAGCAAACGGG